CUAAUACAGCAUGGGACCACAUGGUUUUGACCGAGUGGUGAAAGCGGGCCUCUGUUCACAAGCUCGCGCUCUGGGAUGGGUCUGCGUCCCAUCAGCUAGUUGGUGAGGUAAUGGCUCACCAAGGCAUCGACGGGUAGCUGGUCUGAGAGGAUGACCAGCCACACUGGAACUGAGACACGGUCCAGACUCCUACGGGAGGCAGCAGUGGGGAAUCUUGCGCAAUGGGCGAAAGCCUGACGCAGCGACGCCGCGUGGGUGAUGAAGGCCUUCGGGUUGUAAAGCCCUGUGGGGAGGAACGAACCGUACGGGGGCGAAUACCCUCCGUACCUGACGGUACCUCCUUAGCAAGCAUCGGCUAACUCUGUG
rnacentral:rRNA from 1 species